rnacentral:rRNA from 1 species
AUUGAACGCUGGCGGCAGGCCUAACACAUGCAAGUCGGGCGAGCCGCGCACGUGUGAGUAAUGUAUGGGUAUCUGCCUGAUGGAGGGGGAUAACUUCUGGAAACUGUAGCUAAUACCGCAUACCAUCAUGUGAACCUAUAUGGGAUGAGCUUGUAUGUGAGGUAACGGGUCCCCUAGGCGACGAUCCCUAGCUGGUCUGAGAGGAUGCUCAGCCACACUGGGACGGAGACACGGCCCAGACUCCGACGGGAGGCAGCAGUGGGGAAUAUUGCACAAUGGGCGCAAGCCUGAUGCAGCCAUGCCGCGUGUAUGAAGAAGGCCUUCGGGUUGGAAAGUACUUUCAGUCGGGAGGCGUUACCGACAGAAGAAGCACCGGCUAACUCCGUGCCAGCAGCCGCGGUAAUAC